rnacentral:rRNA from 1 species
UACGGAGGGUGCAAGCAUUAAUCGGAUUUAUUGGGCGUAAAGGGCGCGUAGGCGGGAUGUUAAGUCAGUUGUGAAAUCCUGGGGCUCAACCUCAGACCCGCAACUGAAACUGAUAUUCUAGAGGGCGGGCGGAGAAAACGGAAUUCCACAAGUAGCGGUGAAAUGCGUAGAUAUGUGGAAGAACACCUGUGGCGAAAGCGGUUUUCUAGCUCGCACCUGACGCUGAGGCGCGAAAGCAAGGGGAGCAAACAGG